CGCAUCUUGCGCUCCCGGGUUAUUCCUGGGAGCAUGCUUGUUUGAGUGUCGCGUACCUUCUCAAUCCCGCCUUUUUGGUAACAAAAAGGUAGCCAUGUAACAGUGGACUAGGAUUGGAUCAUGACGCCUUGUCGCUUUCUCUUGAAAGUCAGACUGCGUUGAAAUGCAAAAAGCUGUAUCCUUGACUUGCGGCUUGACCUGUUGUCAUAGAUUUAAACUUUCAAUGGGGACGCUAGUCGGAAUGGGCUUACCAUAAACCUAUAUUUAUACACAUUGACCUCAAAUCAAGUAGGACUACCCGCUGAACUUAA
rnacentral:misc_RNA from 1 species